rnacentral:rRNA from 1 species
UACGAAGGGGGCUAGCGUUGUUCGGAAUUACUGGGCGUAAAGCGCAUGUAGGCGGGUCUUUUAAGUCAGGGGUGAAAUGCCAAGGCUCAACCUUGGAACUGCCUUUGAUACUGGAGACCUUGAGUCCGGGAGAGGUGAGUGGAAUUGCGAGUGUAGAGGUGAAAUUCGUAGAUAUUCGCAAGAACACCAGUGGCGAAGGCGGCUCACUGGCCCGGAACUGACGCUGAGACGCGAAAGCGUGGGGAGCAAACAGG